AACCCGCCUGCAUGAAGUCGGAAUUGCUAGUAAUCGCGGAUCAGCAUGCCGCGGUGAAUACGUUCCCGGGCCUUGUACACACCGCCCGUCACACCAUGGGAGCCGGUAAUACCCGAAGUCAGUAGUCCAACCACGUGAGGACGCUGCCGAAGGUAGGAUUGGCGACUGGGGUGAAGUCGUAACAAGGUACC
rnacentral:rRNA from 1 species